rfam:Myotis lucifugus cont2.32102, whole genome shotgun sequence.
GAGACACCCUUCUGGGGCAGGACUUGCUUCAGUGGGGCUUUGGUGUUCACUGAGCCUACCCCCUGAGUGUGUCCCU